rnacentral:rRNA from 1 species
AUGGCGGCUUGGCCAAGCGACGCUCCCACCGGCGACGACCUGGACUGGGCGGCGCACACAACGCACAUACGCGCCCAGCUGGAGCGUGCCCAGAAGCGCUGCAAGAAACAAGCUGAUCGCAACCGCACCAAGCGCCAGUUCCAAGUGGGCGAGCAGGUACUUCUGAAACUGCAGCCCUACGUCCAGCAAUCUGUCGUCAGCCGACCCUGCGCCAAACUCGCCUACAAGUUCUUCGGGCCCUACACGGUCAUCGAGCGCAUCGGUUCAUGGUGUACAAACUUGACCUACCGGAAUCCAGCCGCGUGCACCCGGUCUUCCACGUCGCAGUUGAAGCCGUUCAUGCCGGAUUACACGCUGGUGUACGCCGAACUGCCACGGGUGCCCGAUCUGUCCGUGGCAACCAUGACACCCACGCGCAUCCUGGAACGACGCAUGAUGAAGAAGGGCAAUGCCCCAGUCGUCCAGAUCAGGGUGCAAUGGGGGACCAGCACUACUUCAGCCACGACAUGGGAGGACUACGACACCUUACGGCAAUGCUUUCCAGCAGCUCUCAUCUGGGAAGACGAGGACGACAGCCCUGAAGACGGAGCUCGAUCUCAAGGAGGGGAGAAUGUCAUACCUAGCCACUUGUCUGCCACUUGUCCAGUGUGA